AGUUGCGUGGUGAGCACAAAGUGAACUAUUCUUUCGUCUUUUACUAAAAAAUACUGUAUGCUUGCCACAUCAAGCAGCAUACUGCUAUUUUUAGUGGAAUCCCUCCUAAUGAGGAGA